rnacentral:rRNA from 1 species
CCUACGGGAGGCAGCAGUGAGGAAUAUUGCGCAAUGGACGAAAGUCUGACGCAGCCAUGCCGCGUGCAGGAUGACGGCGCUAUGCGUUGUAAACUGCUUUUAUAUGCCAAGAAACCUUCGGACGUGUCCGAAGCUGACGGUAGCAUAUGA